rnacentral:lncRNA from 1 species
AUGGAAAGGGAAAAGCAUUAUGGUAUGAAAUAGAAUUAUAUAUAGCAUCAUCAAUUUGUAUUCUAAAGUUUAUAGUGCGAUAUUGUGUUAUUAUUAGAAAUCUGAAAUGACAUUGUUUUUCUUGAGGGAUAAUACUUAGGGUGCACCUCUUUAUGCACUUCGUUUUGAUUAAUGAAUCUUCACUAAAUUAUCGUUUAAAAAUCUCAAUUGAAACUGUUCAUUCUCU